AGGACGAACGCUGGCGGCGUGCUUAACACAUGCAAGUCGAGGGCGUGGAGCAAUCCACGACCGGCGAACGGGUGCGUAACACGUGAGCGACCUGCCGACCACUGGGGGAUAGCCGGCCCAACGGCCGGGUAACACCGCAUACGCUUCUUUCCCUGCAUGGGGAUUGAAGGAAACCUCCGGGGGUGGUCGAGGGGCUCGCGGCUUAUCAGCUAGUUGGUGAGGUCACGGCUCACCAAGGCGACGACGAGUAGCUGGUCUGAGAGGAUGGCCAGCCACAUUGGGACUGAGAGACGGCCCAGACUCCUACGGGAGGCAGCAGUGGGGAAUCGUUGCGCAAUCGGCCGCAAGGCUGACGCAGCGACGCCGCGUGUAGGAGGACGCCGUUUCGGGGUGUAAACUACGUGUUCGACCCGGGACGAACUACUUCCCGUUUUACGGACGGGUACUGGACCGGGUACCGGGUAGGAA
rnacentral:rRNA from 1 species